rnacentral:rRNA from 1 species
UACGGGGGGGGCAAGCGUUGUUCGGAAUUACUGGGCGUAAAGGCUCGUAGGCGGCCAACUAAGUCAUACGUGAAAUCCCUCGGCUUAACCGGGGAACUGCGUCUGAUACUGGAUGGCUUGAGAUUGGGAGAGGGAUGCGGAAUUCCAGGUGUAGCGGUGAAAUGCGUAGAUAUCUGGAGGAACACCGGUGGCGAAGGCGGCAUCCUGGACCAACACUGACGCUGAGGAGCGAAAGCCAGGGGAGCAAAGCGGG